rnacentral:misc_RNA from 1 species
CGUUCUGACGCCCGGCAGAAAUUUUUAGCCGCGGUAAUAGGCAAAAAACAACGACUCACAUCCACAACGCUUAUGGAUCACAAAAAAAUUAUCACACAGUUAUUUAUUUGCAAUUAAACCAUAAAACCAUUUAAACUAUAUUAAAAAAAAUUUAAAAAACAACCAUGAUAUCUGCAUUUUUAAUUUGAAAAAAAAAUUAAUUUGACAUGUGCAAUAUGUAAACAAGUGAAUAGUGAAUUUGUUGUUAUUGUUGUUAUCAUAAUUAUUAAUUAUUUUGAUAAAUGUGUAAUAAUGUGUUUGUGUUUUGUGAAUAGUGUCAAAGGAUUUAUUAAAUUUUAAACUCCAAUUUUAUCUUCUUGAUUUGCAAAACAUCGAAAAAAAAAAUGGAGUCCCGAGGAAAAAAAGUAAGGUGCGAUGGAAGAGCCAGCAGCUUUUCCAGGUAACCAUGAGAAAGAAAAUUUAAAAAAUGACAGUGACAAUGCGGUAAAUGUAACUGAUGAGAAAAAUAAUAUACAGCUUCUCUCAGUUGAUAAAAUUACUGUCGAAAAAAUAGUAAAAGAAGAAAGAGAUCGUGAAGGACAUUUGAGAAAAUUUGAAAAGAUAAAAAAAUCAUCAGAAUUAACGACAAAAAAAAUUGUAGGAAAAUUUGGUACAAAAGAAAUUUCUAAAUUGUCAACUGGUCGAGUUCACAAGGCUAUUAAUACUCCAAAUGUCAACAAAAUAAUACCGAUAAAAUUAUCAAAAAGUUCAUCAAUUGGAAGUUUGAUUGUAUUAGAAAAUUCUAAAAAAAAUUCUGAUUUAUUAAAAAUUUGUAAAAAUCCUCCAAAAGUUCCACCCAAGCCAGAUAAAAUAAAAGCUAAAAAACAAGACAAUGAAAAUAAUAAUAUUAAAGAUCAAACUAAUAAAUUAAUUGCAUCAGUUGAAGAGAUAGAAAGACUUCAAAAAAAUUUAGUUAAAAUUGAUUCGUCAACUGCUGAAGCUUACAAGCAAAAAUUACCAAAUUUAAAUCAACAUAUUUUAAAAUUUUCUCCAAUUGUUGAUCUUGAUAUUAACGAAAAUGUAACUGAUAAUUUAUUUGACCGAGAUUUUCUUGCUGAUACAUCCAAGAUAGAAGAUAAUAUUUCUGAGAGUGAAAAUAUAUUGCCUGUUAAGCCAAGAUACAGUAAGGCUGUUUCUGAAGUAGAAAAACGUUGGUCCGGAGAAUAUUUGGAUCACGUGCUUGAUAAAAAUUCUUCAGAAUCAUCGAAAUCAUCUUACAUUGAAGAACUUGGUAGUAUAUCAUCACAUGAUAGUGUACUAGAAGAUAUUUCAGUUAAAUCUUUCAAAGAAAAUUCACAAUUAUCGUUUCAAAAAGAAAGCCACGAAAAUACUGUUAGUACUGUUGAUACAAAUUCUUGUUUUGAAGAGCGUAUUAUAGCAAUUGAUAAAUAUCUUGAAGAUGAAAAUGGCAAUGAGUCUGUGAGUAGUACUCUGAAUGAGUCAUCUUCAACGAAAACUUUUCAAAAUCCUACAGAAUUAGAAAAUAAUGAAAGCUUAGAAAUAAAUCAAGAAACUAAAAAUUAUUUUGACAAUAAUAACAAUCAAAAAGACGGUUACGCAAAUUUAAUUCAAGAAAUAACAAUGGAAGCUGGUUCAUCAAGAGGUAAUAAUAAAGAUGAGAAAAAAAAGAAAAGUGGAUUUAGGCGACUUUUGCCUGGAAUUUUUUCACCAAAAGAUCCUCGAAAAGAUUAUAAAAAAGAGCAUAAAGAACGAAAAAAACGUGAUGAAAGACACUUUAGUCAGCAUCAGCAAAAUGGAGUAUACACAAGAUCACCAGAUACAAUGAAUCUCAAUGAAGAUAUUAAACGAAAUGUCAAUUUAGAUACUAGUUUAAAUGGUUCAAUAAUUGAAGAAAGACUCAAUGAAAUAAAACAAGAACUUUUUCCUGAACAAGGUAUGACAACAAGUACACCAGAUCAUUUUUUACAACCUGAUCAUAAUGUUAUUCAUGGCAGACGAACUCCCAGAAUUUAUACAACAAAUUCAUCAUUAAGUUCAAUUGCUGUUGAAGAUAAAUGGAUUGAUCAAAAUAUAAUAUCUGGUUCUCCUGAUAUGAGACAAAUAAAACAAAAUAUUUUGAUACCAGCUAAUAAUAAUAAUAAUAAUGAGGGACAUCAUAGAACUGCCUUGGAGCGUAAACAUAGCUUUCAAGAUGCACAGCCACGAUUCUUCAGAAAUCAUGGUCCAUCUGGAAGAAUAUCAGCACCACCAUCUGAGAGGUAUCUCAUUCGACCUCGAGCAGUUCAUCCAGUAGACCGACCAUUGCCAGCAAUUCCACAAAAAAUUGAAUUUUCAAAUUAUGAAAACCAUGAAAGGGUUCAACAACAACAACAAGCAGCUAUGAAUCAUCAAGAAACACCAUAUUAUUGUGCUAAAGAAAAUUAUGUUUACGAUGCCCAGUUAUAUGAAAAUGGACGUCAUAUUGACAAGCCAGAUUUUAAUAGAAAUCAAAGUAUAGAUUCUGGUUUUAAUUCGACACCAGUAUCAGGACAGGCAAAAAUUAAUAAACAAUUAAUAGCUAAUCAACAAAUCAAUCAAAAAAUGCCUGUUCAUCUUGCAAGAAGUCCUAAGUAUUCACCAAGUUCUAGUCAGAAAUCUGGUGAUUAUGCAGACUCAAGUUACACUCCAAAUUCAAGUCAAAAAAGUGAAUUUUCACCUGGUAGUUCAAAGUCUGGUGAAUAUUAUUUAAAUUCACCGAGAAAUAGCUGUCGAACAUCACCAGACAGUAGUUUUAAUGAUCGAAGAGAUGGAGAACCUACGUCUUAUCAAGUUCCAUCAAAUAUUCGAGUUCAUAGUCAAGAUGAACAGCUUUAUGAUGAAGCUCCUCGUGCCUCACCUUAUGAACCUGAAGAAUUAUCAGCAAGUCCACGUCAUGAUGCCCAAAAUACUAAUCCUGAAGUGCCAUAUGUCCAGAAAGCAUCACCCAACAUUCCUUUAUCUUCAAACCUUGCAAAACUUAGAGCAAAUAUGGAACAUACUCGACCUGAAUCUCCACGAAGUCCAGAUAAUCAACAUACCCAUAUAACUUCAUCAAGUCCAUCACCAAGAUUGAAUGAGUCAAUAGAAAAACGAUCAACAAUUAAAUCACCAAUACCAAAUUCACCUCGAGUCACUUCACCUCUGACAAUUGUUCCUCCACCACCUUCCUCAGCAUCACCUUGCUCAAAUACAACUGUAUCAUCUUGUGAAAAAAUUCCAAGUCGAUCUGGAACACCAAAAAUUCAUGGUCCAGUUUCACCAAAUAGGCUUUCUAUUCAAACAAAUCAAGGACCAAAUCAAAAGCCAAUAUCAUCACCAACAAUGUGGAAUACACGAUCUUCUGGCUAUGGAGUUAUGUCAACUUUCCAACCACGAAAAUCUCAGCCAAGUGAUCAAAUUUUAAUAGCCUCUCCCAAGAGAGAACUUGUUUAUGAUACUGAAAGACUGGCUGAAUCUCCUGGUCAAGUGUCAAGUCUACAAGAAGGUCGUCAUAAUACACAUACAAUUGAUAAAAAAAAUAACUCAAAUAAUUCACCAACAGAUGUUGAAAUUUGUAAUCAACCACCACCACAAGCUUUUCAAGAUAAACCAACAUCUGAUUUGCCUCAAAAUGAAAUACAACGACCACAACCAAAAUAUGUUCAAAGGCAAGAAGCUGCCCAAAGAACAGUAUCACCUGUAAUCGUCAAUACGAAUGUUGAAAAAAAUAUUCCUCAAGUUUAUGAAGAACAAACAAGUAUGCUUCUCAUUAAAACUUGUACUGAAGAUGAUAAAAAAAUUAAAUCAAAUAUUCGACAAGAAGUAAAGUCACCUAAUCAUCAACAAAAUACAAAAACUUCACCGAAAAAUAAUACACAAAUUGUAGCUUCUCGUUUACCAAUUCCGGAAAUUCGAAAAGAGCCUAGCUUGUCUCCAGAACGGCCUGAUACUCUUCAUCUCCGUAGAAAAGAUACUAGCCCAUCUCACGAGAGACCUCAAGGUAUCUAUGGGGAUCAACGAAUGCUUCCUCAAAAUAGAAGUGCCUCGAAUGAACAAAUUUAUGGAAUUAGACCAAGACAACUACAAUUGCCUCAACAAACUCCCCAGAGACACGAAGCUCAAGUGCAUCAGCAAAAAAAGACUCCACCACCACAUCAGCUAUCACCACAAGUAGCUUGCUCUUCACCAAAACAGGCAGUGGUUUUAAAUAAAAGUCCUGAACAAAUUUAUGGAUGGCAAGUUGUUAGAGAACCAAUAUACGCCCAAAAAAAUCAAAAACAAGAUCCAAUCUACAGUCAAAAUCCCAAUCGUCAAUUAUCUCCAUCAAAAAAGCAGACAUUGCAAAAUUUAGAGGCAUAUUAUUGGCAACAAAAAGCUCUUGAGACAUCACGGUCCUCAACAAAUUCACCAACUACCUCCAAUCGAUCGACAGAAACAAAUACCUCAGGGGGUGGUGGACCGCCUGAAGUGCGAGAGGCAAUUUAUUGGCAACAGUUAAAAAAACUUGAUGAAGAACAACAGCGUAAAAUAUAUGAAAGAAAUCAAUUUGAAGAAAGAAAUGAAUUAUUAAAAAAAAAUAUACAAAGUCCUUCAUCAAUUAAUGAUGCAAAUAAUAGUGAACAAAUUUAUUGGAUGAAUAAAAUGCAACCAAAGCCAAUUAAUAUGGCAGCUAAGCCACCAAUUGCUGGUCAAAAAGGACAAAAUCAACCUGUACUAAUUGUAAGACCACAACAAGCACCAGUCAGAGAUUUAAAUCAAAAUCAAAUUAAUGAUCAAUUGAUAACACAAAAUGUGUCACCUAAUUUUAUAAGAGGUGAUGAACGUCGUAGUCUACAAUUGCCACGUCGUAAAGUUACAAUGGAACAUGACGAUGGUGGUUUUAAUGAAUCUAAAAUGGGAACAAUGAUACCAAAAAAAAAUAUUCAAAUAACAAAUUACGAAGACAAUGAUGAAAAAAAAAAUAAUCCACCUCCGAUUUUUAAGCGUGGUAGUCUUAUUAGUAAUUCAAGUAAUUCAGUUGAUUAUGGUACACUGGGAACAAAACGUGUGAGCUUUUCAAAUCAAGCAAAUUCACCAGAAAUUGGUUCAGGACAUUGGCCAACAAAACAUGGCAUGGCACCAGAACCACCAACUCGUAAACAUCGUGAAGAAGAUAAAACAUCUGACUCGAUAAAUUUAUCUUAUACUUCACGUGUUCAAGAAGAGAAUCAAAAUAAUACAAAUAAUAUUUAUGGGAAUACAACAUAUUUAAACCAACAACAACACCAACAGCAACAGCAACAACAACAACAACAACAACAACAUCAUCAACAACAACAACAAGUUAUUUAUCAACAAACUGAAUAUGAUGCUAAACCAUUGCCACCAACACCAAGAGGUGCUUGGACAAUGAAACGUAGCAAUAGUAUGAGAGAUUCAAGAAGAAACACAGACAUUAUUCAACAGCCAAUCUCUAAAUCACCAGUCAAUUCACAAAAAAGACCUGGUGUAUGUGAGAGUGAAAGUGGUAGUGAAGCUGGUGAAAUUUCCAGAACUUCACAGCAUCAUUCUGAUGAGGAGUGGAACCCUGGUGGUAAAGGUCGUCAAUCAAAUGACACGGGUGGUACAGGCAGAGUGGAGGGUGAGGGUGGAUCAAACGAUAUUCCAAGUGGUAGAAGAAUAUUGGGUAACAUUAGUGGUGGAAGAUCAGGUGGUUCAGGGGGUGGCGGUGGUCGUUCAAGGGACGAGCCAAGACGGCACACCCUUAGUGGUGAUCACGCGCCCUCCCUUCAUCAUCAACAAUUUAACGCUCAGCAACUUCAUCCACUGCAUCCUCAUCAUUUGCCACCUCCACACGGUCAAUACGGUACAUUACCCAACAGACAUACAACCAUGGAUCUCGAGAUGGGGACCAAGUCUCGCCAGAGAAAGUCGCCUUUGCCGAGGGGAUAUCCACCCCCGUCCACAGCAAUGCUUUUCGAUGACGACCCAGGUAUUAUGUCAGAGGUCGAAACCUCAAGUACUGGAUUUCGACGUGGUGGUAAACAAAGAAGCAGUCUACCAGUCGUACGAACACCAAGCAAAACUUUGGAGCGACCACUAGGUCUAGUAUUUCUCCAGUACAGAAAAGAAACAAAAAGAGCUUUAUUACCCAACGAAAUAACCAGUAUUGAUACAGUCAAAGCACUUUUUGUACGAAGUUUUCCAAAACAAUUAACAAUGGAAUAUCUUGACAUGCCUGAUGUUAAAAUUUACAUACACGAUAGCAACAAAGACAUGUUUUACGAACUUGAAGAUCACAGAUCACAUUUACGUGACAUAAGAGAUAGAAGUGUACUACGUUUGAUCGAAAAAACAGAUACACUUGUUGGUAUGCCUGGUGGUCCAGUUGGUAUACCAGUUGGUGGACAAGGUCUUCCACCACACUGGGAAGAUCCAAGUUAUUUCAGUGAACCAGAAUUCGACAGUGAAUUUCAACAUCAACAUAUUCACAAAAGCAAGACAGCUAAAAAUUCAAAUUCAGGCGGUUAUUAUAUGGGUGGUAGUAGCACACUGCCAAGAGGUGGAUCCAUCAUGAGAGCUUACAGUCCAGCAUCGUCAAUUUUAGCUGGACCAAAUGCAACUCCAACACAGCCAAAGACACUUGGUACACCAGGUGGUGGUGGUGGUGUUAGUAGUGGUGGUGUUGCACCAGCAAAACCCCUGCGUGGAUAUCAAUGUGGUAAGACACCCCUAGGAAGCCUGGGGGCCUCAGCACGCUUCUCUAGAGACAGCUCUGUAUCCCUCUAUAGUAUACCAGAUCGAAUUCAUGGUGAGAGUGGAUACAUGAGUAGUCCAGAAAGAACUGGUGGUGUUGGUAGCAGCAUUGGAAGAUAUCCAAUUGGUCCGUACAGUGCUGGUAGCAGUUAUGAAGAGCCAUACUAUUCACAAUAUUCCGGAACAGUUACACCAGUUAUUGACGAAGAAGCAAGUGACACUGAGCUGUUGGAGGAAUCAUACAGCUUGUAUGGUGUUAAACCAUCAGGUCGUCCACCAUCUGGUCCCCCAAGAUCCCCAUUUCCUCCAGGUGCACCAGCUCUACCUCCGGGUCCAACCUACGAUGUUACUCGGAUUAGAGUGGAACACAUGGAGAGACAACUUGCAAAUUUAACUGGUCUUGUGCAAAAAGCAUUGACACAUGCUCCACAUCCGAGUCCAUCACCAAGAGACUAUUUACAAGUUCCAGCUGGACGUGAUCCAUACGCCAGAAGUGCAGGCGCAGGAAAUGAGUUUGACAAAAACUCUAGUUCCAGCUCAGUCUCAAUGCCAGAUGACUCGUAUUUAAGGACUGAUGUUAAACCACCAAAACUAGGCAAAGACAAGUCGGUGUCUUUUGAAAAAUCAGUAUCAUUCAGUGAUGAGCCACCUGACAUGAAUUCACCAAAACAACACUCACCACAACAUGCAGCGGAUACAAAACCAACUAAACCAGCAAUAAAAUCAUCAACUUUGCCUCGGAUGUCAUCCCAAGAAAGAGAUAGACAUAAACCAACACCACCACCAAAACCAGUUGCACUAACAACUGGUCCAUAUGUUUAUCGUGAUUUAUCAUUAACACCAGAAAUGUAUAAUCAAUUACGUGGUUUACAAAAAAAAGCCAAAGAUCUACGUCAAGAAGUUAGAAAUUUGCGACGAAUGUCACAAGCACAAGCACAUACUGUUAGAGAAACAAUCAGAGAUACAUUUAUUACAAUUAGAUCAAUGCUUUUAACUGGAGGUGACGCCGCAUGGGCAGCUGGUGACACUGAAAAAAUACGUUUGAGUCGUGAAGAAGACCUCUACAAACAGGAAAUGAUAAGGCUGGAAAAUGAUCUAACCGAGCUAGAGAGUACAGUGGAGGAAUUACGAGGAAAUGUUAUCAAUCGAAAAACUCGUGUCAAUAUGUCUGAUGUUGAAAAUAUGGCUUUGAUAUUAAGUAAAUCUAGCAAAACAGUGGCUGAUUUAAAAGUACGUUUUCCAAAUUUACAAGAAGGUAUGAAAGGCCUUUUAAGUUCUGAAAUGGAAAAAGUUGUACGUGAAGAAAAAUUUUUAAAGGAAGAACCAGAAAGACUUGAAUCAGCUUUACGACGUUGUAAAAAAUUAACUGGAACACUCGUCACUUUAAAACGCUUGGCGUCGGUGCAAGAGCAGCGAUUACCAAAUGCAGUUAAUAUUGAUAAUGAAGAGACACCACCAACACCAACUUCAGCACAACAUUCAAAGUUGACUAAUACCGGACAACAAACUGUGCCAAUUGUUAAAGAGCCCAAAAUGAGUACUGACUUGUAAAACGCACACUACAAAAAUUUCAAAAAAAUAUAUAUUAAAUUAAAAUUUAUAAAAAAAAAAUGAUUAAGUAACCCAAGCACAGACAACUGCCCCUGUGCCAGCGGAACGCACUAUCAUGGGGUCAACGGGCCUCAUCGGGGGAGGGUCCUACCCUGGUGACUCAUCCACCGCCUAUCAGCAGCGUCCGGAGAACGCAC